GAAGGAUUGCGAAGAGACUGUAGAAGAGCACCUCACUGUCCACAAGGAUGACACUGUCCCCCCUAAGCGGAGCCUUUCCCCACGGACACACCAGACUCUGUUGGAGGUGGUGACAUGCAUCCUGGCGAAGGUCACCCGCGAGCGCAGGAGACAGAGGGAUGACCAGAGGGAUCUGCAGGACAAGCUCAGGUGUGAGCUGGCAGUGCUGCGGUGGCGUCGUUUGGGGAAAGAGGCACACAGUGGCCAACAACUGGAGGAAGCUGGACCACAACCUGCACCCCCCACUGGACCAGAGAAGAAGAGGGAAGAACUGGUAUGUGGCAUGGGCUCCUGAAGGGACUGGAGUGUCAUAUCUUCCUGGAGAAAAGCACAGUUCUUCGGAUGUCAUGUCUUGGAAGACCCCAUACAGUGUGCUUAGCUGAAGGCUGAAGCACUUCUCCCUAGGCUUU